CGGGGUACUCGAGUGGCGAACGGGUGAGUAACACGUGGGCAAUCUGCCCUGCACACCGGGAUAAGCCUGGGAAACUGGGUCUAAUACCGGAUAGGACCACUUGGCGCAUGCCUUGUGGUGGAAAGCUUUUGCGGUGUGGGAUGGGCCCGCGGCCUAUCAGCUUGUUGGUGGGGUGACGGCCUACCAAGGCGACGACGGGUAGCCGGCCUGAGAGGGUGUCCGGCCACACUGGGACUGAGAUACGGCCCAGACUCCUACGGGAGGCAGCAGUGGGGAAUAUUGCACAAUGGGCGCAAGCCUGAUGCAGCGACGCCGCGUGGGGGAUGACGGCCUUCGGGUUGUAAACCUCUUUCACCAUCGACGAAGGUCCGGGUUUUCUCGGAUUGACGGUAGGUGGAGAAGAAGCACCGGCCAACUACGUGCCAGCAGCCGCGGUAAUACGUAGGGUGCGAGCGUUGUCCGGAAUUACUGGGCGUAAAGAGCUCGUAGGUGGUUUGUCGCGUUGUUCGUGAAAUCUCACGGCUUAACUGUGAGCGUGCGGGCGAUACGGGCAGACUAGAGUACUGCAGGGGAGACUGGAAUUCCUGGUGUAGCGGUGGAAUGCGCAGAUAUCAGGAGGAACACCGGUGGCGAAGGCGGGUCUCUGGGCAGUAACUGACGCUGAGGAGCGAAAGCGUGGGGAGCGAACAGGAUUAGAUACCCUGGUAGUCCACGCCGUAAACGGUGGGUACUAGGUGUGGGUUUCCUUCCUUGGGAUCCGUGCCGUAGCUAACGCAUUAAGUACCCCGCCUGGGGAGUACGGCCGCAAGGCUAAAACUCAAAGGAAUUGACGGGGGCCCGCACAAGCGGCGGAGCAUGUGGAUUAAUUCGAUGCAACGCGAAGAACCUUACCUGGGUUUGACAUGCACAGGACGCGUCUAGAGAUAGGCGUUCCCUUGUGGCCUGUGUGCAGGUGGUGCAUGGCUGUCGUCAGCUCGUGUCGUGAGAUGUUGGGUUAAGUCCCGCAACGAGCGCAACCCUUGUCUCAUGUUGCCAGCGGGUAAUGCCGGGGACUCGUGAGAGACUGCCGGGGUCAACUCGGAGGAAGGUGGGGAUGACGUCAAGUCAUCAUGCCCCUUAUGUCCAGGGCUUCACACAUGCUACAAUGGCCGGUACAAAGGGCUGCGAUGCCGCGAGGUUAAGCGAAUCCUUUUAAAGCCGGUCUCAGUUCGGAUCGGGGUCUGCAACUCGACCCCGUGAAGUCGGAGUCGCUAGUAAUCGCAGAUCAGCAACGCUGCGGUGAAUACGUUCCCGGGCCUUGUACACACCGCCCGUCACGUCAUGAAAGUCGGUAACACCCGAAGCCANUGGCCUAACCCUCGG
rnacentral:rRNA from 1 species